AACGAACGCUGGCGGCGCGCCUAACACAUGCAAGUCGAACGCGAAAGUGUAGCAAUACAUGAGUAAAGUGGCGCACGGGUGAGUAACGCGUAGGUGAUCUACCCUUGUGAUCGGGAUAACCAGCCGAAAGGUUGGCUAAUACUGGAUAGAGCGCAUUUGUCGUAAAGAUGAGUGCGGGAAAUGAGGGCGUAGCAAUACGCUCUUGCACUGGGAUGAGCCUGCGUCUCAUUAGCUAGUUGGUAGGGUAAUGGCCUACCAAGGCAUUGAUGGGUAGCUGGUCUGAGAGGACGAUCAGCCACACUGGAACUGAAACACGGUCCAGACUCCUACGGGAGCUG
rnacentral:rRNA from 1 species